rnacentral:rRNA from 1 species
AGAAUCAACGCUGGCGGCGUGCCUAACACAUGCAAGUCGAACGAGAAAGUGGAGCAAUCCAUGAGUAAAGUGGCGCACGGGUGAGUAACACGUGACUACCUACCCUUGAGUGGGGGAUAACCUAGGGAAACCUGGGCUAAUACCGCAUAACACCUUCGGGUCAAAGGAGCAAUUCGCUUAAGGAGGGGGUCGCGGCCGAUUAGUUAGUUGGCGGGGUAAUGGCCCACCAAGACGAUGAUCGGUAUCCGGCCUGAGAGGGCGCACGGACACACUGGAACUGAAACACGGUCCAGACUCCUACGGGAGGCAGCAGUGGGAAUUUUGCGCAAUGGGGAAACCCUGACGCAGCAACGCCGCGUGGAGGAUGAAGUCCCUUGGGACGUAAACUCCUUUCGUUCGGGACGAUUAUGACGGUACCGGAAGAAGAAGCCCGGCUAACUUCGCGCCAGCAGCCGC